rnacentral:rRNA from 1 species
AUUGAACGCUGGCGGUAUGCUUAACACAUGCAAGUCGAACGGUAACAGGCCUUCGGGUGCUGACGAGUGGCGGACGGGUGAGUAACGCGUAGGAAUCUGCCUCAUAGUGGGGGACAACGUGGGGAAACUCACGCUAAUGCCGCAUACGCCCUACGGGGGAAAGCGGGGGAUCGUAAGACCUCGCGCUAUGAGAUGAGCCUGCGUUAGAUUAGCUAGUUGGUGGGGUAAAAGCUUACCAAGGCGACGAUCUAUAGCUGGUCUGAGAGGACGAUCAGCCACACUGGGACUGAGACACGGCCCAGACUCCUACGGGAGGCAGCAGUGGGGAAUAUUGGACAAUGGGCGGAAGCCUGAUCCAGCAAUACCGCGUGUGUGAAGAAGGCCUUAGGGUUGUAAAGCACUUUCAAUAGGGAGGAACACCUGCCGGUCAAUACCCGGUAGCUUGACAUUACCUAUAGAAGAAGCACCGGCUAACUCCGUGCCAGCCGCCGCAGUAACAC